UCCCUGUGGAAAAAAGAAAAUAGAUGGAAGCCCAAGAUGUUCUUUCUUGUUGAUUGAAAAGAUGCUAUCUUUAAUGAACUGAUGGGCUCAAAUCCACUUUUUCUCCCAGUUAAACUAUGUAGCUGGCUUUUUUCCUUGCAUAUCUAAUACAUCAGAAUGGGGCAAAGGUGUUGUCUUUGCUUUUUCUUUUGCUCUCCUUUAAUCCUCUUCCUCCCAGUUAAAUGAAGGACAGCAGAAGCUUAGAAACAAGGCAGAGUUCUGCAGGGCUGUGUUACUAGUAUGAAAUUUGAAGUAAACUGCUUAAAAGAGAUCUAAAUCUAGAUUGUGAUUUGUUAAAGGUCUCACAGAGGUAUUUCAUGCACUGGGGCAGAAAGAGAAGAUGGCAGAUAGAGGUGGUUAUCUGUGUCAUGUCAGCUCAGCUGAACGUUCCCAGCGUGCUGCGCGAGGUUCCGAGAGCAGAGCUUCAGUGAGGGUCUGCACGCCAGGUCAGUGGUACAGCCUGCUGUUGCUGGCAUUUUAAUCAAACGUCUGAUGCACAAAUGAGUUCUUUAUUUUACAACAGCAGCUUUUAUGUAUCUAAGCUAAAAAUUAAAACAGUUCACCCAUAGUAUCCAUCUGACCUUGUGAACCUGUUCACAUUUCCCAGCGGGAGACCAGUGACUCGUGGUGACACAUUGGCUAUGCCAAACACCAAUUAGAUACUUAGAAUAAAGUUCAUUUUAGCAGUUCUGACCUCAGUGCUACCAUGUAACAUUCUGUAAAUGGCACAUCUGUAUUAUAAUAAGCCAGAGCAAUUCAUUCUCCUUUUGUUUUAAUCUCUACCUGCACCCAUGAUGGUUUUUUACUUUGGGCACAGGCGUUUUGGGCUCACAGGAACUCUCACACUCCCUGUGUCAUAAAUACUAAGUAAGCUGUCCCAGACAGAAUUACCCAAUUGUUGUCCCUCUCUUCCUGAUUGCUACCAGCUAUUUUGCUGUGGCAGAAAAUUUCCCAAUAUCGGCAUUUAGUGAAGCCUUGGAGCUGCUCUGUGUUACAGCCUGAGCUGAACAGGACCCCAGCACAGAGCAAGAAAUCUGAUACAGAUUCAGGGCUGUCAGCUCUAAUAUACAGUUGAUUAUUUUCAUUUUGAAGAGCUAAUAUUUAAGGUCGCUUUCAAUAGAAUGCAUCCACAAUCUGUCAGUAGUCUGUGCUGGUCAUUAUUUUUACUGUGUAAUUCUGUCACCUACGCAAUUUUCUAAUUUUUCUUAUUUUGCCAUUAUCCUUAUUGUAUAUGCAGAGAUAAUGUAUAAUAUUGCUGCUGCUUUCCAUUUGUGCCUUAGAUUAACGUUUUAAUUCGAUCAGUCUGCCUUCCUUGUAACACAACAUGGUGAUCAAUCUUGCAAGACCAGAACAACAAUAAAAUUACAUUUCUAGAAUAAGAUGGAUUCUAAACUUAUUAAAUAUAUUCUCAAUGGAAUACAUAAGAGUGAAACAAAAUCCUUCAUCACCUCACCUUCAGAAAAUGUAUUUGCAAUCUAAAGCUGCCCUUCAUGUAGAAAUUUAUUAUUUCUAAACUACAAAUAUUAGAACUCAAUCUUCAAUUAAUUUUUCACUUUUUUGAUACAUUGGACCUCUUAUUGUCACUUAAAUGAAUCAUUUCCAUGGUUACUAUAAAUCUAAUAGGAUACAUUUUCAUGUGAUGUGUUUUUGUUAAGAACUACUAAACAAAUAGGCCUCUGCCUCUCAUUCAGACUGCUCUUCCUUCUUGCACUAAAGCUGGAUUUUACUUUUGGGUCCUCAACCUGUAUUGCUUGGUAUAAAUUUACUGCUUUAAAGUUAUUACGAUUAGUCAAGUCGAAAUCUUAUCUCCAACAGACCUGGGGAAAAAUGCAGCCCCAGUUAACAGGGCAAAGUGAGCCUGUGAGGCUGCAGGUCCCUCCAGGCAAGGUGUUUUUGAAGCCAGGGAUUCCACAUGCCAUGGAAAGCUCUGAACUAACACCAGGGUGUUCUCAGUGGAUGCCCUUAGCUCCUGCCAGGCUGUAGCAGCUCACUGCAUCCUGUGAUGCCACCAGAAACAGCCCAGAGGCUCCGGGCACAGGGCCUGGCAGGUGAGAGGGGCAGGAGCUCAGUGCAGGCAGCCUGUGGGGCUCAGGGCUUGUGUGCAGCUCUGCUGGCUGAACUGGGGGUGACAUCAGGGCAGGAAUGGGGGCUGGUGGCUACAGACCUCUCUAGGGCUACUCUGCAGCUGACUGAGGUUCUAAGGCUAAAUUCCAAAAGCUGUCAUUUAGAUUUGGAAUUCUGAAGGGUAUUUACAUAUGGAGGACCUUCUCAUUUUAUGAGAGUUCUGGAUUCCCCCAGAUUGCAUGCUAGUAAGCUUUGGAUUUGAAUUCUGGUUUGAGUACACCAUAACCCAAAUUAACUGUGCUGUGUUAUCUUCUAACACUGCAAUUAGCUUGUGUCACCAGCAAAUGAAAUGCAUGAGUAAUUUCUAUACGGAAAUUGCUUGCCACCUCAUUUAUUAACAUUAAAACAGAUGCUGUUUUAUCACUGACUGAUACUGGACAUUAAUCAGUAUUUUGUCAGACUCUGCAUGCAUAUUAAUAGCACAGCUGGGAGGAAUCUCGGGAAGUUCCUCUGUAAAAUAUCCUGUGCUUCCUGCCUGGUCACCUGCCAGCACAGCACCCGUGGAAUGCUUGUACCCCUGUCAGUCAGACACUGUUUGCCACUUGAGUGCACAUUUUCCCACAGAUGGUAUCCACCUACAGCAAAAGCUGGAGGAACAGCACAAAAAAAAGGCAGGGACUUCAGGCCACCCCAUAUCACAUUCUGGUCAGCCUCUUUCCUUAGAAAUCAAGAGCCAUAAUAAAUCCUCUAAAACUAUAGGUACUCACACACUUUAUAAAAUAAUUAAUAUUUUGAUGUGUGAGUAACGUUUCAUUUAUAUGUUGAGUGAUGGGCAAGGUGCUGUGUCAGGACCAUGAAGAUUUCUAGAUAAUCUUUUGCCUUCUAUUCCCAGGAUCUCCUUUCCCUGACCUCCAUAAUUAGUCCUUUUCCAAACCAUGUAUGCAUUUUGUUCUUAAGCUGAUGAGGUGAGGCAUAUGGACCAAAGAGCAGGUCUAGCUCACAUACAGCUUACAGUUUCUCAUAAGCUUCAGGAAAUGUAAUCAGCAACAACUGCUACUUUGCAUUUGAUUUAAAGGAACUGAAAGUGGAGACAGAGAGAGGUAAGAAAACACUGAAGUAUUUAAAAUACCAAUUUUCAGGUGAAUUAUCAUGGAAAAUGACCUGGCAGUCAAAUGAGGAUUCUGACAGGAAAAUUAUCUGGUUCAAUAACUGGAACAAAAAUUAUUCAUAUUAGUUAAAAUAAGGCUCAGAAUUAAGUUCUAAGUUUCUGGGAGUUCCAGAAGGCCCAUGAAGAGGAGAAGAGUUAAAGAGGGUUAAUCUCACCAACCCCUUGAGUUUUCUUUGUGUACAGGAGUAUCCUGAGUCCCACAGGGAACCAACCUUUCUGUCCCUGCUGCCCAUAAUGCCACAGACAGAGGCUGGAAUUCCUACAAACUCACUAAGGCUUGUCUUGUCCUUCCCAGCCCUGCUGCUGAGCACCCACAAAGGGAAGCAGCAGCCUGCAGUGCCUUCAGGAAUUGCCAUGGUAUCUGGGCACCACUGCCAGGCUGCUGCUGAAGGGAGGCAAGAGGAGAAUCCAGCAUGUCCCAGAUCUGCAGUGAGUGCUGUGCAUGCAGGGCUGCCAAAGGGAGUUCUGAGAGGGAAGUGCUUCCCAUCUGGAAAGGCUUGGAUUGGAUCCCUGGGCACUGGAAAAAAUACAGCAAGAUGGUUUGUGUGUCUUGGGCAAAAGAGGGAGAGGUGUGCACACUUCACAAAAAUGUUUGCAGUGUGCAAAUGGAAGCUCCGGCUUUCAUCUUACUACAGAAUGCACAAGACAGCAUGAGAGGAGUAUCAAGCCAUUAACCCUUACUACAGCAUAAAUCUGCAAGCAAAGGGGUUUGAAAUUACUUAUAGCUUUGCUGUAAAGUAUUAGAAAUUUAUAAUAAUUAGGACACCAAGUCCAGUUCAGCUAUGAAACUCAGUAUCCAGUGAAAGUAAAUAGAAAUGAAUCUGAAACACCUUGUUGCAACUAAUAGUGACAAAUAUUUUAGUCUGUGCUCCAGACUCCUUCACUAAACUAUUUUUCCUGCACGGGUGCAAAGCAGUUUGGUUAAUGAUCUUAAGCUAAUAAUUUGUAGCAGAAUCAACAGCAUGAGAUUCCUGGUACCUUUGAGGUGUCCUUCACGUUACAAAUGUGACACUAAUUUAGUUCCAUGACAGUGAUCACCACACUCAUUACUUAUUCCACAAAUUAAUACUUCAAAAUGAAUGGGUAUCUAUCUGCUGAGUUAUAAAUUUGGUGAUACUAAUUAUGAACAGAAAAAAGAUUUUUUUCAAUCUUAAUGAUUCCUUAGUUGCACAGCAAGUAGGAUACCCACACCAAUCUAGCACACACACAUUUCAGUUGUUUUGUUGGGACUUUUUGUUUUGAUUUUUUUUAUUUUAAUAGUAGAUUCUUAUCCUGUCUGACUGAAAACCAGGAAAUAUGGCUUACAAUUACAGAAUAUUUUUUUUCUGCUAUUCUGUUCUGAUGUCUUAUUUCUUUGAAAGAAGACACCUCUUAAUGAGUGGCUGAAGAGCCAGCUAAGAAGGUUAACUCUAUUUAAGGCAAGAAACUCCUUUCACAGAUCUUCAUGGACAGCUUCUUCCAGGCAUGGCAACUACAGUUUUCCUCUUCAUCCCCUGGGGAAUCAAGCUGAAGUAGAGACAUUUCAUAUUACUUUGAUUAUGAAAUGACCUCUUCCCUUUUUACAACCAGAUCAUCAGUUUAAGAAUUACUUCCAUGUGCCAUGGGAAUGCAGCCACUUCUGGAGUAAGACAGACCAGCCACUUAACAGAAACUGAAGUAGCAUGUGUUGGCCAACUGAGAUGACAGAGGAGCAAGAUGCUGUGCUGUGGAAGGCACUAAUGUCAAGAGCUCAGCAGAAACCCCCUGGGGAACAGCAGCAUUCUGGGCUAUACAGUGUUCUGCUCCUGCCCCCACAGUGAAGUUUUUCCCUUACAAAUGAUUUCCUAUCCAUGUUUCAUUUUUCCUUUCUUCUGUGCAGCUUAUUCAUUUAUUUUCGUCUCCUGUUUUAAUCUUCUUAGCCUUUCAAGUAUGCUGUCUGUGCCCUCUAAAGGAGUGGUUCAUUCAGAGCAGAGCCUGCAGUUUAUUAAAAUCAAGAGGGCCUGUUCCUCAGGCUGCCUUUUGCUGGCAUCUGAGUGCCCUUGAUUCACACUGGGAGUUCAGGGUGCCCAUGACUGAGUUCACUAUAAACUUGUUACAAUGUCAUUAAUGGCUCAAAUGCCUUGAGAAUAUUUCAGGACGUGAGCCUGGUGCCUGUGCAGAAAAAUAAAUGUUUUCAUCACACUCACUACAGGCCUCUGGCUCUGGAUGGGUGAUGCAGAACCAGAAAGAGCAGCUUGCCUGAAAUUGCACAGCAUGUGUCAAAAAAAGAACAGGAUCCUGGCAAUGUCAGGGAAGGAAGGGGACCCUGGCUCCCCAUGGCAGAACUGAAGUUCUGAGAGUGAAGCAGGAAUGGAAGCUGUUCCUCAGAACUGGGGACAGCACAUGAUCCUACCCUGGAUCACCAAAAGCACAGUCUGGGAAAGGAGGUGGCAGUGUGCAUUCCUUGUGUCCAGGGCCUCCCCCUGGGGUUUUAGGUGGCCAGGUUACAGUGCAAUUACAGCUUUGUUGACUUUAAUGCCUUUGUAAAUACUGAGCACACAGAUAACCCUCUGCACAUUUCCUGAAGGGUUCAAAUGCUUAUUCACCUUCUCACUUUGCUUUACUCUGGAAAAGACAAACAUAUCACAACUGGCAGGGUAUCUCCCCUUGUUAUCCUUCCUUCUUGUUCUGGCAGAAACCCCAAUACACCAAUUGGAAGAUGAAGAGAAGAACCUUUAAUGUUACAAAACUGACCAAGUUACUCUGUGCUUUUGUUUGUGCCUGAGUCAGCCACAAACUCAGAUCCACUAUAACUGAACAGAGCUCUGCAAGCAAACCAUGUGGAGUGUGACAAAGGCAGCAAAUGCCAAGCAAACAUUGCCUUCAGCUAGGAGGAUACAACAGUUUCCUCUAACACUGGUUCUGCCUUUCUCAUGUAGCCCAGAAAAUGAAAUCUAUGCUCAACUCCACAACAGGAUUGUUUCCUGUUCAAGCUUUGGGGUGUGUGUGUUUUUAUUUGUAAGGUAGCACAUCUGACUGUAAGUUACUGCACAAUAAACCUACCUCUUCAUUUGUAUCUAAGUGGGGACCCUGUGCCAUUUUUACAGCAGCAUAUUUAACAAGUAAAAAACAGAACUUCAUUAAAAAUAAAUGUCUUUCGUGCUGGGAAGUCUUUAGUUUGAAUGCCCAUUUUCAAACAUUAUAUGUGAAAAUGCUCAAGUACUGCAGUGGGUCACUUACUACAAAUUUCAUUUGAAGAUCAGCCUACAAGUCUCAUAAACAGUGUCAUAAAGAUGUAACUAUCAUCAUAACUUUCCAUUUUCCAGUUGCAAAUGUAAGAUGAACUGUUCUGAAGCACCUAAUGUAUGACUAAUGUUUAUUUGUUUUACAAGAAGCUUUACAGCUGCAAUGUUCCAAAAAUGCUUAAAUUCAAUAAACAGCUAUUAUAAUUCACUGAAUGGUGGCAUUUCCUCUAUAAGAAAACAUAACCUAUCCAUUCUAAUUUUUCAGAGUCAGUGAAAAAAACUUGAAUGUAUAUUACCCCAAAGUGAGAUUUAAACAGUUCCUGCCUCCUUGACUCUAUAAACAUUACAUCCAGACUAUGGUAUUCUAGGCUGAUGAGGCAGUACUCCAUACAAAUCACUUUGAUGCGUAUUUUUUACUUACGUUACCAGUGAUGUUAUUUGGCAUGUCAUGCCACAUUACAACUCAUGAGGCAGAGGAUUUAAUGGGCAGGAUUGUCCCUCUGAGCAGAUCUGAAAUUGGUAUAUAUAAACUGCAUUAUUUUACUACUCUGUGACAUCCCCCAGGUGUAUCCAUGUAAGUUCUCACCUGUCU